AUGGUUCACCCUAAAUUGGUUCAGCAUGAUCCCUGUACUUAAAAUAAGUGAAGUUCUCAUUUUUGACAAUUAGGUUUUUAUUAGUCUGAAAUCCAUUGGGGGAAAUAAGCAUAGUGCUGGUUUACAAUGAGCAUUUUUUUCACCCUAUGAAGCAUUAUUAUCUCUGCAGCUGUUUCAUGACAGAAGCGUCAGCUGCUCAUGACGUCCACCGUCGUAAAGCAGACGUCCAGCCUUCACUUUGACUCCCCACAGAAGCCUUUUUUCCUUUCCACAGAUCCUACUGGUGGCACCAUGGUCGGGUUUUCCACCUCACCCUCAUCUGCCAUUGCGUUAUUUUUUAACAUCUGUGUCAUUAUUGUUAUCAUUGCUGCAGCAGAGGCGCAGACACCAACUCCGGCUGCAGAUCCUUGCAGCCUGAAAUCCAACAGUAGCUGCAAUGAAUGUUUGCAGAAUGUGGCUUGCUUGUGGUGCUCUUCGACCCAACAGUGCAUUGACUACCCGGUGAAGAACAUCCUGCCCCCCAGCAGUGUUUGCCCCCUGAGUGACGCACGAUGGGGGGUUUGUUGGGUCAACUUCCAGAUAUUGAUCAUCACAAUGUCUGUGCUGGCUGGAGUCAUCAUCAUCGCCAUUCUCAUCUGCUGCUUCUGCUGCUGCAAGUGUGAGCGGAUUGGAAACAAAAGAGAAGAUGCGCAGGUGGAGAGACAGACCCGAGCGAGGAAGGCCCGUCAGAAAGCCAGGUGAAUGGCUGUUGAGAAAACAGAGAUCCAGCUGAGGCAUGAUGAAAUCAGGCAGAAAUACGGUAUAGCAAAGGAAAAUCCAUACGCUCGCAUGGAUGAUCAUUAGGAGGACUGUCAGCGAAGAGGAUCUUUUGAUGCCAGUAACAAUGCGAUACAGCCAUACCAGUAUCUGUUGACAAACUGUGAUCUCCUGGAUUAAUUUCAGCAUGACAGCAUUAAAAACAAAAAUCUUCUCUUUUCUUAAUGUUUGUUUCACAAAUAAAUGAUCUCUAAUAUGAUUAAAAGGAUUGUUUAACUAAUAUGGUUUUCUGGGCACAUGUAAAACAAGCUGUAAGAAAAAACAUGUUGAGGCACAAUGUUGUCAUCCAAGAUAAGCUAAAACAUUCAUGUUGAAGGAUUUUACACAAAAUGCAGUAUUGUAACUUCUGACACGGUCCACCAUUGUUCACAGGUUUCAAAACCUUCACUUUCAUUCUGCAUCAGCACUGCUGCCGUCUGCUGGGCCCCUAACAGGUUUUUAUUUGUCUGGAUUACUACCCUUACUAGAUAAGUUUUAAAAUGAAUACAGGGCAUCAUUGUCCUUUAAUCACAUGUGAAUCAGAUCUUUGUGCAGGUAAUCAUAAAUAAGAAAAUAAAAAGAAUAAACAAUU